rnacentral:RNase_P_RNA from 1 species
GAAGUUCGCCAGGCAAUCGCUGCGCACGAGUUGCGCGGAGGAAAGUCCGGGCCCCGCAGAGCAGGAUGCCGGCUAACGGCCGGGCGCCGCGAGGUGACGGAAAGUGCAACAGAAAACAUACCGCCGAUGGCCUGCGCAAUGCGGGAUCAGGCAAGGGUGAAAUGGCGGGGUAAAAGCCCACCGCGGGACUGGCGACAGUUUCGGCACGGCAAACCCCAUCCGGGGCAAGGCCAAAUAGGGGGGCAUGGCGUGGCUCGCGCCGCCUCCGGGUAGGCCGCUGGAGCGCCACGGCAACGUGGCGCCAAGAUGAAUGAUUGCCCGAUGUCCUUCGGGACAUUCGACAGAACCCGGCUUAUCGGCGAACUUCCCGC